AUGACGACGAAGAAGAAGGUGCUUUCCCGCCUGUUACUUUUGUUUACGGCUGAGGAAGGUGAAGCUACACUCCGGCACAGGGGAACAGCGGGUGUAGCACACCGGGUCUCGCAACUUUAUCCAGAAGAGAAGAGAAGCGAGGAAGACGGCGGCGCAACUGCUGUGGUGCGGUCUGUUUAAUCUGCCUAAUGGACGUCUUUAGGAAGAAGAGGGGCCUAACCGGCCAGAGUUUGACUGGGCUUAUCCAUCAGACAAAGGUCAAUGAUAUCAGGUGCCUCAUUCUUAGGGGACAGCCGGGCAUCUUGGGGGAGGAUCCCUCUGCCUUCUUCAGGACCUGCUCUGAUGUAAAUGACAACGGAUCAUAAAGUCAAACUGCAGUGGGAAUCCUCUGCAUGGAUGAAGACGAUCCUCAACUCAUCCACAGUAGGGAUCAUCUUGGAAGGCAGCGUGGUGAUGGACAACGUGGCAAACCUACCUCAGGCCGUCCGUCUUCUUCUUUGCCUAAUUUAUGCCCUGCACCUUGAUUACCCGAAGUAUAUGAAAAACACUUUCAUCUUUGUUCUGCAGGUAAUUAUGCUCAACCUUGGAAGAAGUGAGCUGACUCCUCAAAUUCAAAAUCUGCUCACAGUGUAAAACAGGGUUUUUGUGCUACUCCUCCAAAUUUAAAUGUUUUAAUGUUACACACAUGUAGGAAUACAUGUUUACAGUUUUUUGGUAUUUGCAGAGCUUGUGUUUUGGAAUUUGCGCUGACCUCAGACUUUCACCUUUAAAUAGACUUUGAUUUGAUUCAAUGCAAAAUCAUUUCAGGAGUUCUUAGUUGUAACACAAACUUAAUAUCCUAAAUGGAACAAGACAUCUGCACUUUAUCCUUGUCGGUAGCAUCAAAGUGAGAGCUCCCUUCAUUCAUAAGUUUUGGUCUGAUCGCCCCAGACCACAUUAGAAUGUGAUAGUUUCCCUUUAUAUUUAUAUUGUAUGUUCAAAUAAACAAGGCACUCAUUCACAAGUCAAAGAUGCAUUUCAGAAUAACUAUAACUGUCAGUUUCUAUUUACUUUUGAGUACAUUUGAAGCCCUGAUCCAAUUCGUUGUACCUGUAAAAACAUUGAAAGCGCUAUGAUAAGGGAUUUUUAUUUUAAUUCACAUCAAGCUAAUUAUUUUGGGCUGAUAAUGAUGUGCCUGAACUCAGAUAACUUUUUUUUUCCAUUGAUAAGCAAUUUUCCAGAAUUGAAAUAAAAGAAACUUCAAUCUAGAAAGUACAAUUUGUUCUAUGACUGAUUUACAUGUUCCAUCAUGUAGGAAAAAAAAAACAGGACACAUUUACAUGCACAUGCCCAUUUAUUGGAAUGAUAUAGAGUCUGUGUGCAGUCAUCAAAUUGAGCUUGGUCUUACAUUAAGGUGUAUCUUUUUCCUCACAACGAACACAAUCUUCACUCUCUUGUAGAGGAGAGUUUAACACUUGCAAGUAAAAAUCAAGAGUAAUGACAUUUCAGGGGAGGAGUUGGAAAAGUUAAGCCAAUAAAAGUUUCCAACUACAGGUAUAUAAACUGAUAACGGCACCAACCCACAGAGAGAGGAGGAUUAAGUUUUAAAACGUAAAUACUGUACCUGAAUAUUUAACAGUUAAAAGAAAUAAACCCGUUCCUUGAAGCAAACUAUAUCCAAAGAUGAUACAUUCUCCCUUCCUUGUACUGCAAAAUAAGAACCAGUGUCACUAAGCACAGUAAAGCGUCUAUAGUUUUAGAACAACACUUUUUAAUACUACAGAUAAUACAGAUGAAUUAUGCAUCACUGCUUAAAUAUAUAUUGUGCGGAGAAAAGUGACAAACAGAAUGUUGUGCUGAACAUGACAUCAACUAAAGCCGUUUCCAAUGAGAGUGCGUUACUGCUGCAUCAUUUAGUGACGCGGUGUGAAUGGGUUUGGAUUUAUUGGGACAAACUCGGAGCUUAAAAUCUUAGACUCGUCCUUUUCUAUUUAAGAGCGUUUCAUUCACCAGAAAAAUGUCCCGGCAGAAUGAGGAUUUUUAGGAGUUACUGUCGCACGCUGUUUUUGGAGCUACUUUUCAAAAAUAACUGUUAGAUGACUCAAGGCCAAACUGUCAAAGUGCAAUCGCAUCAGCAAGCAGCCGAGGAGGAGUUGGAGACACCAAGGGCAACUCUGAGAGCACUCUGCAAUAGAGCAGGGCUCUAAAUUGAACUUAAAAGAUUGGGGGUUAAAUUUACUUCACUGCUUUGACCACUAUUAAUUUGUUCAGUAACACUAAAGGUUGUUAAAGUGUUUCAGAAGCCACAUCUCUCACUGGGGUUUCUGUAGGGCUCGACAACUUAUUUAAUACUUUUUAAGAAGUUUUCAGAAACACAUAAAACUAAAUUUAAUACUUAUUUUUCAGUCAUCCAGCGCAAAGUAUGAAGAACCAGAUGGAAUGAUAUCAGUACCUUUGUAUUGCACCGUUUUCAGCAGAGUAUAACUACAAUUCCAUAUUCUAUAGUUGAUCUUAUUUAGAGAAACCAAACCUAAAAAUGGAUGUUUGAAACGAUUUUUGCCAAAAACUGGAAAGUGCCCUUGAGGAGAUGAAGAGCCUCCUCACUACUGUAGCUGCAGUAGUGAGUGUUGGCUGCAGUUGUGAUGGUGCUUCACAUAAGAUUUACAUCUCCUGGCAGCCAGAAACAAGAUUCAAUACGAUUUAAACAACUAACACGACAGCUGUCAGUAGACAACAGGAAAUAUUUAGGACUCUUUAAUGUGCUCUGAAGCAAACUAAGUUCAGUGCUUUUUAAGACCUGCAGAAGUAAAAUGGAUAGACACCACAAAUACAUCUGCCGUUAACCAUUUUCAUGCAUCCUUGUCGUCUGCAUUGGUUUAUGUGGUAUUUAAAAUCUGUAGAAUGUAUUUUUGUUUCUAUUUCAGUCCAUAUCUUACUAUUCAUAAAGUAUUUACACAUUAUAAACAUUAGACUGAUGCUAAUUCCGUGUGUUAAUUGCAACUUAAGAUAUUUCCCAGCUUCUAUUUCUUGACUUGAAAUAUAGGUUAACUUAAUAUAAAGGAUAUUUUUAAAGUGGCAUCAAUCUUGACCUUCUUUUGUUUUAAACUGGGUAAUAUUAGUGACAUUAUGACACCUAAGUUUUUUAAAGAUAUUUGAACUAAGGUAUUUUUGAUUUGGCUUUUAUUUAGGAAUUUAAUGCACCCAUUAGGCUUUGUGUAUGUUUGUUUCAGGGGAAAAUGGGGACUUGAAUCACACCACAAACUCAAUUGUUUGUGAUCACUCAAACACCAGGAAAUCUAUUUUUCACUGCUUCAAAGUAUGGUUGUGAAGUUUUUAGUUUUUUUUUUCUGGCAUUUUUGCCUUUAUUAUGAUAGUGACAGUGGAAAGGCAGGAAAGAGAGACUGAAGAUGACAUGCAGGUAACAGUCUGGGCUGGAUUCAUUCACAUGCAGCUGCUGCAGUACUCAGAGUUGCUUGUGAAGUUUUUAUAUGCAAGAAUGAUGCAGCAUUAAUUAACUCUCUAAUCUGAACAGAAAAUGUUUAUCCGGCAGAAAAACACGUCAUGAGAUGGCGGGUUUGGUGUGACCAGGCUGUG